rnacentral:rRNA from 1 species
CCUACGGGAGGCAGCAGUGAGGAAUAUUGGACAAUGGGCGCAAGCCUGAUCCAGCCAUGCCGCGUGCAGGAAGACGCAUCUAUGGUGUGUAAACUGCUUUUGUACGGGAAGAAACACUCCUUCGUGAAGGAGCUUGACGGUACCGUAAGAAUAAGGAUCGGCUAACUCCGUGCCAGCAGCCGCGGUAAUACGGAGGAUCCAAGCGUUAUCCGGAAUCAUUGGGUUUAAAGGGUCCGUAGGCGGUUUAAUAAGUCAGUGGUGAAAUCUGGUCGCUCAACGAUCAAACGGCCAUUGAUACUGUUAGACUUGAAUUACUAGGAAGUAACUAGAAUAUGUAGUGUAGCGGUGAAGUGCUUAGAUAUUACAUGGAAUACCAAUUGCGAAGGCAGGUUACUACUAGUGGAUUGACGCUGAUGGACGAAAGCGUGGGGAGCGAACAGGAUUAGAUACCCUGGUAGUCCACGCCGUAAACGAUGGAUACUAGCUGUUGGGCGCAAGUUCAGUGGCUAAGCGAAAGUGAUAAGUAUCCCACCUGGGGAGUACGUUCGCAAGAAUGAAACUCAAAGGAAUUGAACGGCUGAGACGUAGACGACGGACGACGACGAGGGAGGAGG